UAUCUGAUAACCAGAUAUCUGAUGACCUUCCUCCUGGAAGAUCCACAUCUUCCUUGACAAUGAGUUUUUACUGCAGGAGCUGUCCCCACUUCCCUUUCAAAGCUGGUCAAAGUAACACGAGCUUUUAAAGGGUUCAAGGAAAUCUAGACAAUACUAUAUGUGGGAGCAAGAGUGAGACUAAAUUCAUCAUCCAUUGCCAUUGCUAACUGCAGUCUUGAGGCCAAAAUCAGGGCUUCAUGGUUCCAAGUACCCUGAAGGCAGCUGAAAAACUCUGACUGUGAUUUGACCAUGCACACCCAGGUGACUCCAGUCUGCCCACCCACACCUUCAUACCCAGCUCCAGCACUGGGAGCAUUGAUGAACCUGUUGCCUCACAAACUCAGCUGUUACACCAUGACUGCAGCCUCAGACUCUUAAAAGAGACAGACCCAUAGCUAUGUUGUCUUUAGAUUCUGAAGGCAUUCCCAUGUACCCCUAAGUGUUGUUGCAGUGUACCUCACUGCCCUGCUAAGAGUCCCUGCAAAGGCCCCACAACCACAAGAGACACAGAAACAGAGCCCAGGGAGCAUUUUGGCUAUGUGCCCCUGUCUGGAGCACACUCAUGUUGCAGGAAAUCAUGUAAAAACAGUGAGUGCUUUCUUGAGCUCUUGGAAAAUUUGAUAUGGCAGCUCUUGCAGGUUCCUUGCAGUGUUGCACACCAAAAUAUUCCUGGAGAGAUUUGUGUCUUAAUGUUUAUGGAAAAAGAGAGGAAAGCUGUUGAUGCACUGCUCCAUGUGGCACAGACGUGGAAAGGGAAAAAUGAAGUGGAGUUGGCAUAAGCAAUGGACCUAACCAGCUACAGAAUUUUAAGGAACAAAGGAGAAAAAUACAUUUUCAAUAUAUUUUUUUGUGCAUGUUGGGUUUUUUCAAGCACUCUCUAAGGAAAGGCAGAAGAUGCUACCUUUUUCAUGACACAUGAGUGAGGAGAGAUGUGUUGUCAGUAAUGUCAGUUUCCAUAACUUUUCUGUAGAAAUAAUUAAUCUGGAAAUUAUUGUAUAUUGCAAAUAGUAACUCAGUCCUUAUUUGUUCUUUUUUACUGAUUAGUCUUUCUCCUCUGAGAUAAGGAGUGUUGUGGAGUGCUAGUGUGAUAGUUGGUGCAUUCUUCAUGAGUUGUGCAAGAAUGCAAUUGUGAUAAAUAUUAAAUCAGAUAUCCCAGAACUUCACAUGGAAUUGAAGGCCAGAUUAUUGGAAUUAGAGUUUAAAGAAAUUUGAAAUAUUUUGCUCCUGUGCUAAUAGGACUGCAACAUUUUAGAAUAAACCAGUAUCCUUCAGCAUCAUGAUUUUACCCUGGCCAACAGCUCAGCCCCAUGCUGCCACUACCCUGCAGUGAGAUGAGGGAGAGAAUCUGAAGUGUAAAAGUGAGAAAACUCAUGGCUUGAGAUUAAAACAGUUGAAUGUUAAAGCAAAAUUGUUGCACUCCAUUAAAGCAAAAAAGGGAAUUGAUUCAGGAUUUUCCAAGAGCAGGAAGGUGUUCAGCCAUGCCCAGGAAAGCAGAGCUGAAUGAUGCCUGGCAGUGACUUGGGAAGACAAACACCAUCACUGCAAAUGUGCUCCCUUCCUUCUUCUUUUCCCAGCUUUAUAUGCUGAGCAUGACAUCACAUGGUCUGGGAUGUCCCCAUGGUCAGUUGGGGUCACUGUCCUGGCUGUGUCUGCCUCCCACCUCCUUGUGCACCCCCAGCCUCCUCUCUGGUGGGAUGAGUUAAAGGACAGAAAAUGCUAUGUAAGCAUCAAGGCUAUUUUUGUUAUUGUUAUUUAGCAAUAAACACACCUCUGUUUUUAAGACUGUUUUCAUAACAAAUCCAAAUAUUACCCUAUGCAACUCCUAUGAAGAAAAUUAAUUAUCCCAUCCAAAACUAGACCAUGUGGCUUCUGAUGUUAGAAAUAUGGGUAGAGGUUUCUCAGACCAUUGCCCUAAGUUGUUGGAACAGAAGAUAUCUGAAUGAAAUAGUAAUUUCCAAUAGAUCUUUACUUGAAGUAUUUCUACCAAUUUUUAUCCCUGCCACAGAGCUUGCCUAGCAAGUUACCUAAGCUGAACUUUUCUUUUUUGUUCAUUAAUUACACAGUCCUCCUUUUUUAGAAUGUACAUUUUUAGACUUUUAUGCCUUGUUUGCAGAACUGCUGAGUACUCACAGCUGCUGCUUGAGCCAUUGUAUUCUGAACAUAUGAAAUGAGUGUUGAUGCAAAAUAAUAUAGCACAGCCUAAACUGGCACUAAGUUGUAGAGGCAACACAGAAUGACAAGUUAACAAAACCACAGGGGAAAUGUCAAUGGUUGGGAAAUGAUGCAAACAGGAAAAAGAAAAAGAAAAAGAAAA